rnacentral:rRNA from 1 species
CCUACGGGUGGCAGCAGUGAGGAAUAUUGGUCAAUGGGCGGGAGCCUGAACCAGCCAAGUCGCGUGAGGGAAGACGGUCCUACGGAUUGUAAACCUCUUUUGCCGGGGAGCAACGGGGUCCUUGCGAGGGCCCGAUGAGAGAACUCGGAGAAAAAGCAUGGGCUAACUCCGUGCCAGCAGCCGCGGUAAUACGGAGGAUGCGGGCGUAAUCCGAAUUUAUUGGGUUAAAGGGGUGCGAAGGCGGGCUGUAAGGUCAGCGGUAAAAUGUCGGGGCCAACCCCCGGCCUGCCGUUGAAACUGGCGGCCUUGAGUGGGCGAGAGGUAUGCGGAAUGCGUGGUGUAGCGGUGAAAUGCUUAGAUAUCACGCAGAACUCCGAUUGCGAAGGCAGCAUACCGGCGCCCUACUGACGCUGAGGCACGAAAGCGUGGGUAUCGAACAGGAUUAGAUACCCCAGUAGUC